rnacentral:rRNA from 1 species
UACGGAGGGUGCAAGCGUUAAUCGGAAUGACUGGGCGUAAAGGGCGCGUAGGCGGUUUGACAAGUCUGAUGUGAAAUCUCUGGGCUCAACCCAGAGUCUGCAUUAGAAACUGUCGGGCUUGAGUAUGGGAGAGGUGAGUGGAAUUUCCGGUGUAGCGGUGAAAUGCGUAGAUAUCGGAAGGAACACCUGUGGCGAAAGCGGCUCACUGGACCAUAACUGACGCUGAGGCGCGAAAGCGUGGGGAGCAAACAGG